rnacentral:rRNA from 1 species
UGCCAGACUCCUACGGGAGGCAGCAGUGGGGAAUAUUGGGCAAUGGGCGCAAGCCUGACCCAGCAACGCCGCGUGAAGGAAGAAGGCUUUCGGGUUGUAAACUUCUUUUAUGAGGGACGAAACAAAUGACGGUACCUCAUGAAUAAGCCACGGCUAACUACGUGCCAGCAGCCGCGGUAAUACGUAGGAGGCAAGCGUUAUCCGGAAUGACUGGGCGUAAAGGGUGCGUAGGUGGUUUGACAAGUUAGUAGCGCAACUCCGGAGCUUAACUUCGGAACUACUACUAAAACUGUUGGACUUGAGUGCAGGAGGGGCAAUCGGAAUUCCUAGUGUAGCGGUGGAAUGCGUAGAUAUUAGGAGGAACACCAGUGGCGAAGGCGGAUUGCUAGACUGUAACUGACACUGAGGCACGAAAGCGUGGGGAGCAAACAGGAUUAGAUACCCCCGUA